rnacentral:lncRNA from 1 species
AAUCAAUUUCUUCCAGCUUUCUAAUAUCUCUCCCAUUAAGCCUUCUGAGGAGAGGAACUACACCUGUUUUAUCUUGGUAACUAGCACUUUGCACCAUGCCUGACACAGAGGAGGUGUUUUAAAACUGUCUUUCAAUGGAUUACCACAGAAAAAAGUUGCUCACCUCUAGAAGAUGCUAGAGCAGGUACAGUGGAAAGAGCAUGGACUUGGAGGGCAGACAAAGGCAUGGACUUCGUGUUGAACUGCAGGUUUGAGCCAAGGAAUGGUGAGGUUUCCCAGUCUGGCAGCUGGGCAUCCUCCUCCCCAAAGCAAGAGUACCGGGAUAUGCCAAGGGGUUCUUAAAGCUGGAACUCAUGGAUUUCCCUGGCUGAUUGGAGCAUCACUGCUGCCAGCAAAGCCCAAGGUGUGAGCUCUACAUUAUGCUGAGAUGGCUAUGUACAAGUAUAUCCAGAAUGACGGUGGAUACGUUGAAAGUCCAAUCAACUGUGCUAAAUCUUGAAUCAGUUCUCUCUGUUGCCUUUUGCAGGUUGUUUAAGUUUUGUAUAGAAGUGGAUAUUUUGAACAUUGAAACUGCACAAGGGCUUUAUGGUUGCUCUGCUCACCUCUAUUUCUUCUUCUCCUGCUAGGAAACCCCAUUAUCCUCAGAACAAGUCUCUCCACCUCCUGCUCUUGCCUGAUGCUGUAUGGCUCUGAUGGCUUGUCCUGUGUCCCCUUAGCCCAGGUGCUAAGUGGUCUCUGUUCCCUUAAAAUAACUGUUUUGGGAUGUUAUGGGUCCUGUUUUAAAAAUCCCCUCAUCCCUCUUCUUUUCUCUCUUCUAAAGGGCAGCCUUACCAUCUCCUUUUAAGAACAGAAGUCUUUUCUUUCUGCCUCUUAAAGUCAGUAGCUGGUUUGUCACCCAAUAACAAAAGCCCACAAUAUCCUGACCUCAAAGACUAGGAAGGUAGGUGGUGCUAAGGUCAGGGAUUGGGAGUCUUAGAGAGCCAGCAACACAGUGUCAUCUCUCUGAAAAGUAAAUUUCCAGUAGCUAGCAAGAGAUUUACAAAUGCUGAAAUCUCUUAGUCUACUAAUUCCUUUCAUACAAUCAAAGAUAUGUGCAAAGAUUUAUGUUCAUCAUACUGUCACUCCUCAUAGAGAAAAGCAUGGGAGUAACACCCAUGUCUGUCAGUAGGGCUUGGAUGGAUAAAGUCUAUUAUUGAGUCCUUUGCAAUCAUUCAAAAUCAUGUUUGAAUAUAAUAGAUGGGAAAAUGAUCAUACUAUAAUGCUAAUUGAAAAAAGAUAUAAAACUGUAUAUAUGUUCUCAUCUCAAAUUUUUAAAAAAUAAAAAUGUGCUUAUUUUAUAUAUAUAAACAUAUAUAUAUAGUUUAUAUUUAAAAAUAAAAAUGUGCUUAACUCUGAAAUUUGUCUUUUUGACUUAAGGAUAUAUUAUGGACAUCCCUUUAGGGUCAUAUUUAUAGAAUUGACUCAUUCUUUUAAAUUAUACUGUAUUUUAUUGUAUGGCUAAAUUGAAAUUUAUUGGACCAUUUUCUUAUUGAUGAAAUUCAAGUGCUUUUAGGUUUUGUUCAGUUUUUAAAAUUGUAAAUGGACAAUUUAUAAUUAUAUAGAACUAUGGGGUAAAAAGCACUGUUAUGAUUUAUGAAUACAAUGUGAAAUAAUUAAAUCAAGCUAAUUAACAUACUCAUCAUCUCAAAUACUUAACAUAUUUUGUGGUGAGACCAUCUGAAAUUUACUCUCUUAGCAAUUUUGAAAUGUGCAAUACUCUAUUCUUAACUAGAUUCACCACACUGUGUAAUAAAACUCCGAAAAAGAAAAAAGCAACAUAUUCCUCCUAUCUAGCUGAAAUUUUGUACCCUCUGACCAUCAGCUCUCUGCUCUCUCCCCACCCCCUACCAUCUGUAACCACCAUUCUACUCUGCUUCUAUGAGUUUCAUUGCUUUAGAUUCCACACAUAAGUGAGAACAUGCAGUAUUUGCCUUUCUGUGCCUGUCUUACUUCACUUAGCAUCAUGUUCUCCAAUUCCAUCCAUGUUGUCGCAGAUAACAGAGUUUCCUUCUUCUUAAAGGCUGAAUUGUAUUCUAUUGUGUAUAUAUGCCAUAUUUCCCUUAUUCACUCCUCUGUUGAUGGACACUUAGGUUGAUUCUAUAACUUGGCUAUUGUGAAUAGUGCUGCAAUGAACAUGGGGGUGCAGGCAUCUCUUUAACAAACAGAUUUCACAUCUUUUGGGUAAAUACUCAGAAGUGGUAUUGCUGGAUCAUAUAGUAAUUCUAUUUUUAGUUUUGGAGACACCUCUAAAAUGUUGUCCAUAAUGGUUGUACUAAUUCAUAUUUCUACCAACAGUUCACAACAGUUCCCCUUCUGCCACGUUCUUGCUGACAUUUAUUAUCUUUUGUCUUUUUGAUAAAAGCCAUUCUGACAAAUCUGAGAUAUAUCUCAUUGUGAUUUUAAUUUGCAUUUUCCUAAUAAUUAGAAAUGUUGAACAUUUUUCCACUUACCUGUUGGCCAUUCGUGUGUCUUCUUUUGAAAAAUGUCUAUUCUUAUGUAUUUUUUUUAAAAUAUGGUCAUAGCAGAAAAUAACUUCAGUGUUAAACCACAGUUAUCUCUGGGAGGUUGAAUAUUGUGUAAUUAAACAUUUUUAAUUUUAAAUUGUAUAUUUUUCAUGUUUUCUAUACUGAGUAUCUUUCUUUUAGAAUCAGAAAAAUGUACAAAUAAUUUAAAACAAACGCCUUGAAAAAUGAACAAUCUUACCUAGUAUUCAAAGAAAUGCAAAUUAAAAUGUUAUUUUUGUUUCUAUCUCAGUAAAUAAGGAAAUAUGGAGUAAAAGAGUAAUCUUCCUGCUGAGCAUGUUUUGCGGUUGCCAGCGCUGCCCCGGGUGUGUCUGGAGGAACACUCCCUGUUGCCUAACAACUGCUGUAAUGUAACGGAAAUAGAAGCACGAUGCCACACAUCCCUCAGAAAACGACUUGGCCCUUGGCCCUCCUGUGGAUGAAGAGUAUAUUGAAGAGAAACUGGAUAUUUCUAAAUUUGCUAAGACUCGCUUUUCUCACUUGCUCUCAGAUCACACUACUUUUGAGUAGCCCAAAAUUUUGUUGCCAACUCAGCAAGUUAAGCAAACAAUAUUACAAAUCAUGUUGAAACUGAAGUGGUCCCCAUGGGCCAGUGAGUACGGUGCAGGUGGAGAAAAAAUUAGCUGCUGAGUUAGGACAAACUGCUCCAAUUUUGAAGGCACAAAUGGGCAUCAUCUUGGGCCCGGGUACUACCCAAGGUGGACCUCUCAAUCAGGCUCUUAUGCUCCCAGGUGUAGUUGUUGGGUGAACUCUCUCCCUGGAUGCUCAGGGACAGCAUCUCAGAGAGAGGUGAAUGGAAAAACCAUGAGACCCUGUACACACUCUAGGUGCAAUGGAUUACAAGGGUUGAUAGCUCUUCUUAGUAACCGAAAGCCUAUAUGCUCCAUCUUUCUUGAUGGCAAGGUCCCUGGGAAGGAGACAUUCUCUUAGAAUGUCAUUAAAUGACCAUAGAAUAAGCAUGAAGUGAGUGGAAUUAUGUGGAAGGGAUUCAGCAUUUUACCCAAGCACUGGGCAGCCCCUGGGUGUGGCUGUCCCUCCACAGUGGCCUGUCUGUCUAAGUCUUGACCCACCCACCCAGAUCCUCUUGGAAGCCACUGAUAGCAUUUGCCUCUGGGAAUUCUGCAGCCUUUGCUGAUGAGUCUCAGUUGACACCAUCUAUCAUUGCAGAUACAGAUGUCUCCAAAAGGCAAUUGCCAAAGGCUGUGCCACACAGCACACACCUGUCCAUGUGCAGAUUGAUUCUGUUAAACUCUUCAGCUAUCUUGUGGGCUGCUUUUCCCUGCCUCAUUAUCUGCCUGCAGACCUUCCUUCUGUGUUCUCUGCUCUUAGAGGUCAGAUUGAUCUGUAUUUUUAUCAAGAUGAGGAAGGAGAUGGUAGACUGUGAAUCAAGGAUCUACCUCUCCCAGUAAUUCACUGUGGCAUCUUGGGGCACCUGCUGGCCCUCUCUGAGCCUCCAUUUUCUUACCCACGAAAUGUGGAUUUGGACCCAGUUAUCUCCAACCACCCAAGAGUCUGUGAUUCUGCUACUAAGAAAAGCAAAAGGCAAGUACAAGAUAGCAUGUGUUUAGUUGCUGGGGAAAGCUCAGUCUAAUAUUAAAAAUAAUAAGUAUAAAAAUAAUCACCACCAUUCACUCGAGCUUGCUUUGCCAGUUCUGCACUGUGAUCUUUGCAGGGGUAAUCUUACUGAAUCCUCUGCUCCAACCCUACCAGGUGGGAACUACUUUUAUCUUUAUUUUUCUGAUGAGGAGAUUGAGCCUCAGAGAUGUUAAGCAACCUGCCGAAGCAGAGAGUUAAUAUGUCGGGAUUCAUCACAGGCAGAUCCCUCUGCUCUUGGGAAGCCCAGACCUCAGAAGCAGGAGUGGGUCUGAUUCAGGUGUGCUCUGAGGGCCAGCUGUCCUUUCCAAAAAUGCCUUCCUUUAUUUAGACACCAACAUCCUUGCUAUUUUGGAUUUUUCAAUGAGCUUCCUUAUUUUCUCCCUAUUCUGUCCUAUUCAGCAAAAUGAAUGAAUAAAUAUAGGUUCCUAAUGUUACAAAUUUAAUUUUCUUCUAGAAAUGAAAGUGUUUAUUUCUCUUCUUUUAUUUCUCAAGCCAAAAUAAUUAUUUCCUCCUUCUUAGAAGUCCAGGAAUAGGUUAAACUUUAAUUAAAAGUCUUAUGGUUCAACAGUUGGAAUGAGGAUCAGGUAAUAACGAAGAAACCCCGUAAACACCCUGAGGAGAACCAGCACCCCCUCCAUUGGUUGUUUUAGCUCAGCCCACAGCUAACAGCUCAGCUCAGAAAGUUCCUACCACCCACUCCGCUUCUAACGCCUUUUAAUAUUCGCACAGAGUUUUCUCACAUUGUGGCUCUCACACACUUCCUUUAUACAUGCUGUUUCCUCAGCCUGGAAUGCCACCUCUUUCUUUACCUGGAGAACCCCUGUCCCUUAAAGACGCAGGUCAGAAGUCACGUAGUACUCCUCUGCUACCACCUAAUGCAAAGCGUGAUUAUUCCUUCACUUCUCUUCUGCAUUUAAAUUAUUGAGGGAAGAGGCUUGGUCUCAUUGCCUUUGGAAUAGCUCUGGAUCUGCGUUCAUGUUUUGUAUAUAAUACGACUCAGUAAAGGUUGUGUAAUAUAUGACUUUCAUAUGUGUGUAUGCAAAGAUAAUGUGUUCCCAUGCCCUUUGACUCAGUUUUCCCCAUGGCAAUGAAUUUAACCACAGGAAAUAAUUGAAUAGGAGAAAGAAGAUUACACAGAUGGAAGUUCUAUAAAAUAUGUAUUUGCUAAACAUUGGAAACAAGUUAAAUGUUUAUCAAUUGAGUAAUGGCAAGUAAAUUGGGGUACAUGAUC